CAUGUAGUCCGCUGCCCUCACGGCCUGUCUGGACACACCUUCAGGCUGCUUCAUCAGCCGCAGGAAGUCCGAGGGGGUGGAAGCAUCCCUUCUCACUCGUUCAAGGGAACUUUGUCUGGAGUACAAGUAGUCCGCGUCUACUCUGGCCUUUGCAGUCUCCACCUUGUUUUCCAUGAAGCUCCUGCUCAGCCCUGAAAUGAAAAAAACAAAGAGGAAAAACUCAUGUUUAAUUUAGGCUACUGUUUGGGUCACUCUUUAUACUGAUGGUAGUGGACACUGACUUUUCUUUUUGAAAUUUUAUGUUUCACUCCUAUCACAGAAUUUCAAAAAAAAAUUAUUACAUAACUGAGGAACACAACU